rnacentral:rRNA from 2 species
UACGAAGGGGGCUAGCGUUGUUCGGAAUUACUGGGCGUAAAGCGCACGUAGGCGGACAUUUAAGUCAGGGGUGAAAUCCCGGGGCUCAACCCCGGAACGGCCUUUGAUACUGGGUGUCUUGAGUUCGGAAGAGGUGAGUGGAAUUGCGAGUGUAGAGGUGAAAUUCGUAGAUAUUCGCAGGAACACCAGUGGCGAAGGCGGCUCACUGGUCCGAUACUGACGCUGAGGUGCGAAAGCGUGGGGAGCAAACAGG